rnacentral:misc_RNA from 1 species
GGAACUAUUCCUUGUGAUAUUGGUUCCCUGAAAUCCUUGGAACAUCUAGAUUUAUCAUAUAACAAUUUGUCAGGAGAAGUUCCCUCAUUCAACCUCUCUGCAAAUACGGCCUUAGUAUAUGCAGGAAAUCGUAACUUAUGUGGACAUCCACUUCAAAAGAAUUGCUCAAUAAAUGAACCAUUUGAAUAUGCAGAAUGCAGGAG